ACCGCGCCUCACUUGAAUGGUCAAAUACAGACAGUCAUCUCAAAAUACACUCGACUUAAACACAGUCGCUAAUGUCUGGAGUCAAGAUAAACAUUCAGGUGGAAACCCGGUGACCUGUCCGUAUAACUUACUGGAUCUGUGCUUUUGGUUCUUAAAGUGACAGCAGUAUAAUUUAGCCUAAUGUUACCUGCAGUCGGUCAUAAUUUUAAUCAAACAACAAAGUACUAAAGAGAAAAUGUAUUUAACUGGUCUUUGUUCUAUUGCAUUAGUCCUAUUGUUUGUAAUUUGCUACUUUGAUCUUAUACAUGUGAUAUAUAAGAUAUAUUGUUAUUGUGAAGUAAAAUUUCCUAUAUUGUGAAAUAAUAUGGUCAUAUCGCCCACCCAUACUGUCAGCUAGUUUUAAGAUCAAACCCAUAAGAAAAAAGUGACAGUACUUUGAAAUGAGUAACCUGAGAACACUGUCAUGUGAACUCGUUUGACAGAGAUGACCUGAAAGCAUGAUCCUUGGACAUUUGGAGAAGAACACUGUAUGCAAAACAGGAUUUUGGAUCAGCUGUGAAGAUUUUGUAUGGAGCUGAAGUUUUGGAAAUGAAAAUCUUCUACCAUAUGAUCUUCAGAGGAACUAAUCCAGCUGAUUACUGGCAAUUUGGAGGAGGACUGCUCUUUAUCUGCUGUGUCUGUCACUUCUGGCCAUGGACCUUUUCUUGAGUCUGACAACAGCCAGUGCUCCACACAGAGAUCUGAUCUCAUCGUCUAAAUCCAGAAGAACUGUGGCAGCGUCUCCAAGAUGCUUCAAGAAACCUACCUGCAAAGCUAAAAGUUUUAGGCACUUGUGUAAAAAUUCUGUUAAAUGAGGAUGUUGUCAAAAAUAAUGCCAUAAAUACAUUUUCUUUAUCAAUUAACUUUUAUAACUAAAUUAAAUCAACAUUUAGUGUGACCAUCCUUUGCGUUUAAAGCAGCUUUUGCUCUAGGUGCACGUGUGGUUAGUUUUUCAGGUAACUUUUCAGGUAGGUUUCUUGAAGCGUCUUGGAGACGUUGCCACAGUUCUUCUGGAUUUAGUCUGUCUCAGUUUGUUCGGUUUCUUCAUGCCAUUCCAGACAGACUGAUGGUGAUCAGAUCAGAUCUCUGUGUGAAGCACUCGCUGUCGUCAGACUCCUUGUGCAAACAAAAAUUUCACUGG